CAAAUUCCAGUCUUCUGGGAGGAGGGGGAGAAGAUGGCUGCUAAACCUGCAGAACUGCUCUCUGCGUUCUGACCCCGGAUCUCCCUCUACCCCUAUCUGUGGCUUGGCAUGUGAAGACCUCCUGCCUUGGUGGCGGGGAGGAUCGAUGUGAAGAGGAGAUGUGCUCUCAUAUAAGGCCGACCUUAUCUCCCAGCUGUCUUCUCAGGGCUCUGCAGUGGGGCAGCUUCACAGCAGGAUGAUCCAUCAUGUUGGCCUCACACACCUGAGCCAUGUUUAGUUCUCUUAGUUCUAGAGGUGGGCCUCCCGUCAGUAUGUGAAAACUGUUUGCUUUAUGUAGAAAAAAAAAGUUAGUAUACCACCUACACACUUUUGGAAACUCUCCUGGCUAUAGACAUUUUAUUUUUGUUGAGGAAUUGAUGUUAUCCCCAUGUGAAGGUAACUUUUGGGAGGAAAGUUUCACUUCACCGUAUAUGGUAUUAUUAAUUUAAAGUGAAAUGUGUGGUCCAAGUAAAGCAGAAAAUACUUAUAUUUGUGAUAUUUUUUUGGCUUUAUGCCAGUGCGAUGUGAAUGGGGUGAAAAUAAAGCCCAGGGUGCAAUUC